rnacentral:rRNA from 1 species
AGUGAACGCUGGCGGUAGGCCUAACACAUGCAAGUCGAACGGCAGCACAGUAAGAGCUUGCUCUUACGGGUGGCGAGUGGCGGACGGGUGAGGAAUACAUCGGGAUCUACUUUUUCGUGGGGGGUAACGUAGGGAAACUUACGCUAAUACCGCAUACGACCUACGGGUGAAAGCAGGGGAUCUUCGGACCUUGCGCGAUUGAAUGAGCCGAUGUCGGAUUAGCUAGUUGGCGGGGUAAAGGCCCACCAAGGCGACGAUCCGUAGCUGGUCUGAGAGGAUGAUCAGCCACACUGGAACUGAGACACGGUCCAGACUCCUACGGGAGGCAGCAGUGGGGAAUAUUGGACAAUGGGCGCAAGCCUGAUCCAGCCAUACCGCGUGGGUGAAGAAGGCCUUCGGGUUGUAAAGCCCUUUUGUUGGGAAAGAAAAGCAGCAGGUUAAUACCCCGCUGUUCUGACGGUACCCAAAGAAUAAGCACCGGCUAACUUCGUG